GAUGAACGCUGGCGGCGUGCCUAAUACAUGCAAGUAGAACGCUGAAGGAAGGAGCUUGCUCUUUCCGGAUGAGUUGCGAACGGGUGAGUAACGCGUAGGUAACCUGCCUGGUAGCGGGGGAUAACUAUUGGAAACGAUAGCUAAUACCGCAUAACAGUAGAUGUUGCAUGAUAUCUACUUAAAAGGUGCAAUUGCACCACUACCAGAUGGACCUGCGUUGUAUUAGCUAGUUGGUGAGGUAACGGCUCACCAAGGCGACGAUACAUAGCCGACCUGAGAGGGUGAUCGGCCACACUGGGACUGAGACACGGCCCAGACUCCUACGGGAGGCAGCAGUAGGGAAUCUUCGGCAAUGGACGGAAGUCUGACCGAGCAACGCCGCGUGAGUGAAGAAGGUUUUCGGAUCGUAAAGCUCUGUUGUAAGAGAAGAACGAGUGUGAGUGUGGAAAGUUCACACUGUGACGGUAUCUUACCAGAAAGGGACGGCUAACUACGUG
rnacentral:rRNA from 1 species